UGGGGAAUAUUGCACAAUGGAGGAAACUCUGAUGCAGCGACGCCGCGUGAGUGAAGAAGGUCUUCGGAUCGUAAAACUCUGUCCUUGGUGACGAAAAAAAUGACGGUAGCCAAGGAGGAAGCCCCGGCUAACUACGUGCCAGCAGCCGCGGUAAUACGUAGGGGGCGAGCGUUGUCCGGAUUUACUGGGCGUAAAGGGUGAGUAGGCGGUAAUAUGUGUCAGAUGUAAAAGGCUAUGGCUUAACCAUAGUUAGCAUUUGAAACUGUAUUACUUGAGUGCAGGAGAGGUAAGUGGAAUUCCAAGUGUAGCGGUGAAAUGCGUAGAUAUUAGGAGGAACACCAGUGGCGAAGGCGACUUACUGGACUGUAACUGACGCUGAGUCACGAAAGCGUGGGUAGCAAACA
rnacentral:rRNA from 1 species